AGAGUUUGAUCCUGGCUCAGAUUGAACGCUGGCGGCGUGCUUAACACAUGCAAGUCGAGCGGCAUCUCGGAGGCCACCCUGGCGGCCAGCGACUAACGGUGUGCGUAAUGCAAGGGAAUCUGCCUACUAAUGCGGAGUAACCCUGCCAAAGCCGGGCUCAUGCCACAUACGACCUACGGCUGAAAGCGGGCGAUCACUCGACCGUCGUGCUGUUACAUGACCCAUGUCUGAUUAUCGUGUCUGGCAUGGUAACAGCCUACCGAUGCGACAAUCCCCAACUGGUCUGACAAGACGGCCACCCCCUCUGAGACUGAUACACCGCCCAGACUCCUACAGGAGGCACCAAUGCGGAAUUUUGGACAAUGGGCGAAAGCCUGAUCCAUCGACGCCACCUGUGUGAAGAAAGCCUGCGGGUUGUAAAACACUUUCUUUGGCAACGAACUGUGCCCGUCUAAUACACCCGCAAGCUGACAUUGCCCGAAUAAGAACCACCUGCUAACUCUGUGCCAGCCGCCGCAGUAAUACAGAGGGUGCCAGCAUUCAUCAUAAUUACUGGUUGUAAAGGGCGUGUAGGCCGCUUUGCCACUCGGGUGUGAGAGAUUCCGGCUUAACCCUUAGAGGUCAUCCCAAACUGACUAUCUUGAAUGCUAGAAAAGAUAAUGUACUUCCUGGUGUAUCAAGUGCAUGCAUAUAGAUCAGGACGAACACCACUGACGAAAGCUUCCAUCUGAACACUAACUGACACUGACGCACGCAAGCGUGGGGAGCAAACUUGAUUACAUACCCUGUUAGUCCACGCCAUAAACUAUAAAUACUAUGUGUAGGGGGUAUUGACCCCCCGUGUGCAGCAGUUAACACAAUAAGUAUUCCACGUGAGGAGUACGGCCGCAAGGUUGAUACUCAAAGGAAUUGACGGGGGCCCGCACAAGCAGUGGAGUAUGUGGUUUAAUUCGAAGCAAGGAGAAGAACCUUACCAGGGCUUGACAUCGUAUGAUGGCGGUAGAGAUACAGCUUUUCGUUAGGGGACAGAGAGACAGGUGGUGCAUGGUCGUUGUUAGCUUGUGUUGUGAGAUGUUGGGUUAAGUUCCGCAACGAGCGCAACCCCUAUGGUCAGUUGCCAGCAAGUCAAGGUGGCCAUUCUGGCGAGACUGCGGUUGACAAAACGGAGGAAGGUGGGGAGGACGUCAAUUCAUCAUGCCCUUUAUGUCAUGGGUUACACACGUAUUACAAUGGCAACAACAGAGGGCAGACAGGCCGGGAGGUUGAGCGAAUCCCAAAAUGUUGUCUCAGUUCAGAUUGCAGUCUGCAACUCGCCUGCAUGAAGUCGGAAUUGCUAGUAAUGGCAGGUCAGCAUACUGCGGUGAAUACGUUCCCGGGCCUUGUACACACCGCCCGUCACACCAUGAGAGUCUGUAACACCAGAAGUCAGUAGCUUAACUGCAAAGAGACCGCUGCCCAAGGUGGGACAGAUAAUUGGGGUGAAGUCGUAACAAGGUAACC
rnacentral:rRNA from 1 species